CCUACGGGUGGCAGCAGUGAGGAAUAUUGGUCAAUGGACGAGAGUCUGAACCAGCCAAGUAGCGUGAAGGAUGACUGCCCUAUGGGUUGUAAACUUCUUUUAUAUGGGAAUAAAAUGUUCCACGUGUGGGAUUUUGUAUGUACCAUAUGAAUAAGGAUCGGCUAACUCAGUGCCAGCAGCCGCGGUAAUACGGAGGAUCCGAGCGUUAUCCGGAUUUAUUGGGUUUAAAGGGAGCGUAGGUGGAUUGUUAAGGCAGUUGUGAAAGUUUGCGGCUCAACCGUAAAAUUGCAGUUGAAACUGGCAGUCUUGAGUACAGUAGAGGUGGGCGGAAUUCGUGGUGUAGCGGUGAAAUGCUUAGAUAUCACGAAGAACUCCGAUUGCGAAGGCAGUUCACUGGACUGCAACUGACACUGAGGCUCGAAAGUGUGGGUAUCAAACAGGAUUAGAUACCCUAGUAGUC
rnacentral:rRNA from 1 species